UGACCACGUCAAUCAAAGCUCUGUGCUUGC
rnacentral:piRNA from 1 species